rnacentral:rRNA from 1 species
GACGAACGCUGGCGGCGUGCUUAACACAUGCAAGUCGAACGGUGACGAGGAGCUUGCUCCUCCGAUCAGUGGCGAACGGGUGAGUAACACGUGAGUAACCUGCCCCAGACUCUGGGAUAACAGUUGGAAACAGCUGCUAAUACCGGAUACGAGACGGAGAGGCAUCUCUACCGUCUGGAAAGUUUUUCGGUCUGGGAUGGACUCGCGGCCUAUCAGCUUGUUGGUGAGGUAAUGGCUCACCAAGGCGACGACGGGUAGCCGGCCUGAGAGGGCGACCGGCCACACUGGGACUGAGACACGGCCCAGACUCCUACGGGAGGCAGCAGUGGGGAAUAUUGCACAAUGGGCGAAAGCCUGAUGCAGCGACGCCGCGUGAGGGAUGACGGCCU